rnacentral:rRNA from 1 species
UACGUAGGUGGCAAGCGUUAUCCGGAUUUACUGGGUGUAAAGGGCGUGUAGGCGGGACUGCAAGUCAGAUGUGAAAGCCCGGGGCUCAACCCCGGGACUGCAUUUGGAACUGUAUGGCUGGAGUGUCGGAGAGGCAGGCGGAAUUCCUAGUGUAGCGGUGAAAUGCGUAGAUAUUAGGAGGAACACCAGUGGCGAAGGCGGCCUGCUGGACGAUGACUGACGUUGAGGCUCGAAAGUGUGGGGAGCAAACAGG